rnacentral:rRNA from 1 species
CCUACGGGAGGCAGCAGUGAGGAAUAUUGGUCAAUGGACGCAAGUCUGAACCAGCCAUGCCGCGUGCAGGAAGACGGCUCUAUGAGUUGUAAACUGCUUUUGUACGAGGGUAAACGCAGAUACGCGUAUCUGUCUGAAAGUAUCGUACGAAUAAGGAUCGGCUAACUCCGUGCCAGCAGCCGCGGGAAUACGGAGGAUUCAAGCGUUAUCCGGAUUUAUUGGGUUUAAAGGGUGCGUAGGCGGUCGGAUAAGUUAGAGGUGAAAUCCCGAGGCUCAAAUUCGGAAUUGCCUCUGAUACUGUUCGGCUAGAGAGUAGUUGCGGUAGGCGGAAUGUAUGGUGUAGCGGGGAAAUGCUUAGAGAUCAUACAGAACACCGAUUGCGAAGGCAGCUUACCAAGCUACUUCUGACGUUGAGGCACGAAAGCGUGGGGAGCAAACAGGAUUAGAUACCCUGGUAGUC